CCGCCUAAACCCGUAGUUCCGAACUUGUGUUCUCUUUGGUGCACAAGUUUGAUUCUUCGGGUAGAGGCUGU
rnacentral:pre_miRNA from 1 species